AGCAGCAGCAGCAGCAGCGGCGGCGGCGGCGCUGGCGGCCCGAGGCUCCGGCCCGGACUGCGGUGGGACAUCGCUCCUCCGCUCUGACCUCUGCCGGGCUGGAUUAGGUCCCGCUGGCGCCGGCCGUGACAGCUGUUGCAAGAGCCGCACUCGGGGGUGGCAGUGGGGCGUUGCGUGGCAGAGGCCUGGGCGAUCUUAACUUUCUUCUGGCAUUAGUUUUGCCUGUUCGGGAGCUUCGCGUGGCCUUGGGAACCAAACUUCGCCCUUCUGAGCCCCAGGCUGGGAUAGGCGGAUCCUUUCCGUCUGGUCUGACCCUCUAGUCACCUGUGGGCCGGGCCGGGAAAGUUCUCAGUAGCGCUUUUGGGAAGUACAGGGGCUGCGCUGCUUCUGGCCGCCUCCUGCAGGUUUGGGGCUCAGGGCCAAGGAAUCAGUUCAAGGUGGCCUUGGCCCCUGUGGCAACAGAUGAGAUACCCCAGGCAGCUUUGGGUCGCAUGCCUCUGCCUACACGCAGAUCGGAUUCUGUGGCCUUCUGUCUUUUCGGGUCCCUCAUCCGUCAGGAACCAGGGCCUCUUGUGUCAGCCUGUCUAACCUCAGGAGCUCGACACCUCCCGGCCUUGGCUUCAUUGGCCGGAACUGAUUCACACUGGGCUGGAAGCAGAUCUACCCCUGACCCCCUAUCGAGACCCAUUUCUGGGCAGGGCUCACUGAAAGUAACAUUAUGAGUUGGUCCAGGGUGCCCUAGGUGACAUUGUGAAGUAGGCAACAGACUUCAGGCUGACUGGGCGCAGUUUUUGCCACCGGACCCAGUUAAGACGGCUAAAAGCAAGCCCCUACAGAUAGGUUUGUAAUCCCAGCAUUCCAGAGGCCGAGGCGGGAGGACUGCUGGAAGUCUGACGUCAACCUGGGCCACAGAAUGAGACUUUGUCUCCCAAGAGCAAACAAAACAAAAUGCCAGGUACCCCAGGAGGCCGGAAGAGGGAUCCAGAAAACAGAAAAAAGACCUGCAAUGUAAUUUCAAACUGCCUUGUUGUCAAUGGUGGUGGUCUCGGCUGGAAAAAAACAAAAGGGGUCACACAGAUUUGCACAAGAUGGGAGGCAGCUCUACUUGGAGCGAAGCGAUAGUGCAGAUUACAGAGGGAGACACUGUCCAGAUUGACAGUGGGCCACGUUGAUGCUCCAUAGACAACCAUGGGACACAGCUCUGGAGUACACGGCUAUCACUCUGACAAGAACACACAUCCCACUCAGGAGGUAGAGGCAGGAGGAUCUUAGAAGUUCAAGGCCACCAACUGCUACACACACAGUGAGAUUGAGGACAUUCUGGGAUCCAAGAGACUCUGUCUCGAUAAAACAAACAAACCAAAAAGCAAAACCAGAACACCCACGCGACUUGCAGAGGAAUUCUAUGUGUAGGCAGGGCA